GACGAACGCUGGCGGCGUGCUUAACACAUGCAAGUCGAACGGAAAGGCCCCUUUGGGGGUACUCGAGUGGCGAACGGGUGAGUAACACGUGAGUAACCUGCCCUUGACUUCGGGAUAACUUCAGGAAACUGGGGCUAAUACCGGAUAGGAAUCCUUGCUGCAUGGUGGGGGUUGGAAAGCUUCGGCGGUUUUGGAUGGACUCGCGGCUUAUCAGCUUGUUGGUGGGGUAGUGGCUUACCAAGGCUUUGACGGGAAGCCGGCCUGGGAGGGCGACCGGCCACAUUGGGACUGAGAUACGGCCCAGACUCCUACGGGAGGCAGCAGUGGGGAAUAUUGCACAAUGGGCGGAAGCCUGAUGCAGCAACGCCGCGUGCGGGAUGACGGCCUUCGGGUUGUAAACCGCUUUCAGCAGGGGCGAAGCUUGUGGUGACGGUACCUGCAGAAGAAGCACCGGCUAACUACGUG
rnacentral:rRNA from 1 species